AGUGAACGCUGGCGGUAGGCCUAACACAUGCAAGUCGAACGGCAGCACAGUAAGAGCUUGCUCUUACGGGUGGCGAGUGGCGUACGGGUGAGGAAUACAUCGGAAUCUACUUUUUCGUGGGGGAUAACGUAGGGAAACUUACGCUAAUACCGCAUACGACCUACGGGUGAAAGCAGGGGAUCUUCGGACCUUGCGCGAUUGAAUGAGCCGAUGUCGGAUUAGCUAGUUGUCGGGGUAAAGGCCCACCAAGGCGACGAUCCGUAGCUGGUCUGAGAGGAUGAUCAGCCACACUGGAACUGAGACACGGUCCAGACUCCUACGGGAGGCAGCAGUGGGGAAUAUUGGACAAUGGGCGCAAGCCUGAUCCAGCCAUACCGCGUGGGUGAAGAAGGCCUUCGGGUUGUAAAGCCCUUUUGUUGGGAAAGAAAAGCAGCAGGUUAAUACCCCGCUGUUCUGACGGUACCCAAAGAAUAAGCACCGGCUAACUUCGUG
rnacentral:rRNA from 1 species